CUGACAGGGUGACGUCCAUAAUUUGAAUGAUGCUAGCUCCAGGACAGUGAGGGAAUUAUCUACAUUUCCUGGACCGAUCUUUCCUCCCCUGUAAAUGAAAUGGGUCUAAGCCCCACAAAUAGGACCGGUGAGAGGAUUGAAUGAAACCACACCGCGAGGGAAUGCCAACCUAGCACGGGCCACGGGAUAUGGUUAGCCAGCAUCGUCUCAGCAACUGUGAAGCAGUAGGAAGAAGUGCAUUUAAUGAGAAGACCGUCAGUUGGAGAGGAGAGUGUG